AUUGAACGCUGGCGGCAGGCCUAACACAUGCAAGUCGAGCGAGCGGCGGACGGGUGAGUAAUGUGUGGGAAACUGCCUGAUGGAGGGGGAUAACUAAUGGAAACGGUAGCUAAUACCGCAUACCAUCAGAUGUGCCCAGAUUGGAUUAGGUGGUAGGUGGGGUAACGGCUCACCUAGGCGACGAUCCCUAGCUGGUCUGCGAGGAUGACCAGCCACACUGGAACUGAGACACGGUCCAGACUCCGACGGGAGGCAGCAGUGGGGAAUAUUGCACAAUGGGCGCAAGCCUGAUGCAGCCAUGCCGCGUGUGUGAAGAAGGCCUUCGGGUUGUAAAGCACUUUCAGCGGGGAGGCGUUACCCGCAGAAGAAGCACCGGCUAACUCCGUGCCAGCCGCCGCGGUAAUAC
rnacentral:rRNA from 1 species